GAGGGUAUAGCUCCGUGGUAGAGUAUGUGCUUAGCAUGCAUGAGAUUCUGGUUUCAAUCCCCAGUACCUCCU
rnacentral:tRNA from 1 species